GGCAAACACCGUAAUAAACACAAGCAACAUUAGCAAAAAAUGCUAGACCUUGAGGAGUCCCAGGGUAUUUGGAAAGCCUCCCCCAAGGGACAUCUGAUAAACGGCAAAACAGUCACUUCACAGUGAAAACCCCUGGCAGACCCCGUCUCAGCCGAAUGGCCCGCAAUGGGACUGACAGGAUGCACGUCACCUCCGCUGCCACUCUGAGGAAAAGCACAGCCUUACGGUCACCACGUGGAAACACCAGACAAACCUAAGCUGAGGACGACGGUCUGCCGAACGACAGGCCAGUGCUCUCGGGACAGUCGAUGUCACAAAACACAAAGGCUGACUGGAGAACACUCUAGAUUAAAGGUGGUGGGGUGGGGGGCAAAUGCCACGCAGCAGGGGGCGUGCUGUUUACAGGACACCACUGGGACAGUCCAUGAGGGCUGAGCCUGCUACAGACGAGGAUCAGCAGCCCAGCGCCUGCUGGUUUCAGGAAAUGCUCGCUGUCGCAUUCAGGGGAGAGGGCAGUACCUGCCACGCACGGAUUGAAACACGGCUCCAGCAGGAAAGCCUGUGUGAGCACGUUUGCAUGGAAACAGGAAAAAGCAGGGACAACAUUCACAUCGGAGCAAUUGGGAAAACCUUCGCACCAUUCUUACUGCUUUUCUGUAAAUUCGGCUAAAAUAAAGACGAGGGAAGAAAAGCA
rnacentral:antisense_RNA from 1 species